UACGUAGGUGGCAAGCGUUGUCCGGAUUUACUGGGCGUAAAGAGCGCGCAGGCGGUCGUCCAAGUCGCGUGUGAAAUCCCUGGGCUCAACCCAGGAACUGCGUCCGAAACUGGCAGGCUCGAAUCCGGGAGAGGGAUGUGGAAUUCCAGGUGUAGCGGUGAAAUGCGUAGAUAUCUGGAGGAACACCGGUGGCGAAGGCGGCCUGCUGGGCAGUAGCUGACGCUGAGGCGCGACAGCGUGGGGAGCAAACAGG
rnacentral:rRNA from 1 species